UUGUAUACAACCACGCCCGGCAGGAUGACCACCAGAUGACCGGCCGCAGCAGUGCCUCCACUCAGUCCCAGUUGGGCAAAGUUUCACUCCACUGCGGCGACGUGAACAAGAAUCACGGCUUCCUUAUCUAUCUGGCCAAAUGAAUACAUGCAGGAGGUGAAAUAUGGAGAAAGAACAAAGGGACUAAUUCCACUUGUGAGAGAUGAAGGAACAGGAGCACUCUCAUGUUUCUUAAGUAUGUUUUGUGACCCAGAAUGUGAUCCUGGUAAACAUUCCAUUUGAGAAGAAUGUGUAUUCUGCUGUUGGAAGCUGCGUUGUCAUUGAUGAAGGAAUAUUUCGAAGUGCUGAACAAUUCUUGAUAAAGUUCCGAAACAAACAAAGCACAAUCUUCCCUCGAUUUACAUGGGAGUUGCAUUCCUGGAAAAUUCAGUAUAUUUUAAAACCAUGCAAAAUAUCCUUUUAAAAAAAUAUGUAACAUGGAGUUUAGGACCAAGGCUCAGAAUAUUUUUAAUCCAUGGUUGGGUGCGGAACCUGCAGAUACAGAGGACUGACUAUAAUUAUCAAGAAUCAGAGAAGCUCUACUACCCAGAAGAGUUGGAAUGGGCCUUGAAAUGUAACCCAAGCAUCUUAUUAUGUAGGAGGCUCAUGUGGUCCCUGUUUGUCAUCCAGUCAAUACAGCCAUCAGCUUUUGGCCCCAGACACCUUUCCUCUGCACCGUGGCACAGAAGAGCAGACUGCUUUGGAGGGCAGCUUCCUGGGAGCUCCAGGGACUCUGGCCAGGCGGCCACUGCCACUGACCUCUUCCUUGGCUCACUGAGCCCCUGCCUGCAGCUCUCGUGUUUCCCCUGUGCUGCAGUGGACGCUUAUCUUCCCCCGAUGGCACAUUUCUUUGUCACUGAUAGGACCCUCACUGGCAGUCGGAGGACAUCAAGCCCUAGUACAGGAAGGGACAUUUUCACACUAAUCUGUGCCAGCUGGAGCAGUCCUGCCAUCUGAACAUCAUAUUUUGGAACACUGAGAAGCUAGGAUGCAGUUAACAGGCAGAUGAGGAUUUUAAAUGCUUCGCCUACAACCUCAAUUGUUGUGGAGCCAAAGAUGUAACAGCUUUGAAGAAUAGAAGAAUUACUCUAUAUUUGUCAGGAUCUACGUGGCAAACAAGCGCCACUUGGCUUACAUUACUUGCCUGGCUUGGAUCCCAUGGAAUGCAGGAGCAUUGGAACCAAGAGGAAAAAAAUUAAAGUGCUUUGGGACAGUGAGCCAAACUCUUACAUAGUAUUUGAAAUGGUGUGGUAAACAUGAAAUUAUUUUAGGCUCAAGAUUGGUGCUAGUUUUUUUACCCUCUUUUUGAAAAAAUAAUAAAAUGCACAUAAAGGGCCCUGCCAGAGGGUUAGCUCAUAAAAUCUGCCAAUCAUUAGAUGUGCUAAUUGGUGUAGCAAUCCAGUGGUGGCCUGGAUUAGGACUCAAAAACUGACCCUUACCACCCUUGGUGUCCUGCAGCAAAGAGAGCCUAAAUCAAAAAGACUGAUGGAAGUACAUCAAAUUACGAAUUUCUCUAUCCCUGAAAAAUGACUGCAGUUUCUGUUUCUCCAUCACUCCAGAAAUACUCAAAAACAGCAAAAAUUAAAUACAUAUGAAGUGAACACAAAAGACCUCCACAGAAAAACCAGUGGCUCAUCUGUUGACGCUAUUGCUCAUUGCUCGGCUGGCCAGUCAUCUGGGCUGUUUUGACUUUGGGCCAGUGCUUCAAAAUCAGCAACCUUUCAGCCAAAAGACUGUGGAAUGCAGCCAAGACCACCUAUGGAAAGUGAAUUAUAGCAUCUUUAAUUUACUACCUUGGGCUAUGAUCUCAUAAACCCAGCAUGGAGGGCGCACCAGUUCUUGUGUGGGAAAUCUCUCAGAGCCCCCGUGGAGGCCCCCAAAGUGACUCUGGCAAAGCUGUAGGGGUGGAGGUGACAAAAAAGGGGACACCUGGUUCUCCUUCUUAAAUAAUCUCACCAUGGGCACACAUUUAUAUUGGAAUUUUAGGGUCAGAAAAUACCAAAAUUAAAUCUUCUAGAAG
rnacentral:antisense_RNA from 1 species